rnacentral:lncRNA from 1 species
ACCAGCAUGCUGGGGCAUUCCCUGUGCCCCCGAUGGGGACAGGGACACUGAGGCCCACUGGAGUCCCACAGGCCCCGGAUGCCAGCAAUGAUGGCCAUUCUUGUCCCAGGUUCCAGUACCCAGAUCCCACAGCCUUCCUGUGCACUGGGCUACCCCUGGCCCUGGCACACAGCAGCCACCAGGACAGCCUCUGCUCUUGCCCUUGGGAGCCUGCCGUCUGGUGAGAACAGUGACCUACCUGGUGGGGGUGAUAGUCCUCAGUCACUCACCACGCACCCCCAGGCAGCCUACACCCCACGUGGCACCCCGGAGGCAGCCUUAUGUCGCCAAUCAGCUGCUAACAGCCCCUCCCAGCUGCCCCAGCACAGACCCCCACGGACCUUCCUGGGCCCGCUCUGCCCUACCAUCCUCCCACCAGCACUUCCUUCGUGCUGCCCUGGGAAUGCUGGGGUUCCCUGGGGCUGUGUUUUAGGGCCUUUAUCCCCUCUCUGCACACAUUCCCGUGGUGUCACAUGUGGCCUGGAGGUGCCAGCUCCCUCUACAACCCUCCGGUCGUCUGACACCAUUUGGACAUCCAACAGUUCAAUUCCCAGGGCUGGCAUCACAUCCCACAGGUUAAGCUGCUCAGUCCCACAAGACUGUCCCUCACUUCAGACCCCAGCCACAAGUUCCCAGCCACCCACACUUCUGAACACUUGGCUAUAAAUCGGGUUCUGAGGACCCCUCCUAGGUUUGGUAAUUUGCUAGAAUGGCUCACGGUGCACAGGAAAAUACUUCGACAACUAAAGGGAGGAGAUGCAGAGGGCAGGGUAUGGGGACUGGCACAAGGCUUCUGUGCCUGCUUCAGGUUUGCCACCGUCGCAGCACCUCAUGUGUUCACCCAUUCCCGGUGGUUUCGGGGUUUUUAUGGAGAUUCUAUUCUGUGAGUAUGAUUGAGUAAAUUACUGGCCACUGGUGGUGAAAUUCAAUCUCUACCCAGGAACUCGGGGACAAAACCCAAAUACUUAUUUAUUAGACCAUAUUCCCUGUCCCCAGCCUGGAGGAUCUACCCUGGUUCCUCACCCUGCUUCCCUUCCCUCCCCAACUGCCUUUUCAUCUGCUCCUGAAUCCACUCCCUCGGAUAAGAGAUGUCUUCAGAUCUCAAGACCCCUCCUAGAACCACCUCCUCUAGGCAGCCUGCCCUGGCCAGCCCUGCCUCUGAGUUCCUUUGACUGGGGUGCCCCAGUCCACUACCAACUCCCCCUUAUACUGCGGUCCCUUGAGAGUGAAGACUUGCAGCCCCCAUACUCCCUAGGCCGGGCCCUGACCAUGCUUCCUGCGAAUGUUCCCAACUGUCCACCUUUUGGGCCUACUCCAAUGGUGGAAAGUUUCCAGCCAGAGGAGGCCACUUGUUUUGGAAAGUUCCUGGGGGAGCCGCCCCCGCCCGCCCGCCGAGUUCCCACGCUCUCUUAUCACUGGGUGCUAGCAGAGCUCAGUGCUGUGCAAGCCUAGCUCCUCCCCAGCUGGCUGCCUGGGCCUUGCCGUCCCCCCACCAAACAUUCCCCCCUCCCCCCAUCUGGCCCCGCAAGCCGUCCUGCUACAGGUGGGGAAACCAUGAGGCCUCCCAGGACUCCCCCCCCAUGUGAGCCCUGUCGAAGGGAGGUCGGCGUGCCUAGUGGGUGCUACUGCUCCAGAAGUGGGAAGGAGAGGCAGCCUGGGCUGGAGGAGCAUCAGGCUUUGGGGGUGCAAGUCCUAGUUCAGUCCUCUGCUUCAGUUUCCCCUGUAGUAUCGGCCCCAGGGAUACCCACCCUGGUAGGCCCAGCCACCCUUCCUAGUUCCACUUCCUGCCCUUUGUCUGGGGCUUAGACACAGGGGGCGGAGGGGGGGGUCAUCCAGCAGAAGGCAGACCCGUGUGACCCUGUGCUGUCUCCUAGGUGGUCAUCAAGUACGUGCCCUAUGUGGGCGACAGCAAGCUGCACUGGAUGAGUACACAUCUGAGUUGAUGCUGGGCGGUACCAACACCCUGAUUUUCAGCCUUAAUAUCUUCUUUUGUGAAAUGGGGAUAAAAGGCCACGCGUCCUAACGGGCUGUGGUGCGAAAUGAAUCCACGCGCUCCCUGUUCGGGCCGGGGUCUAUGGCCCACGUGGAUGCGGGGACUGGCACACGAUAGCCUCGUGGACUUUGCGCUGUAGGGCCUCGAACCCGAGUCCAAGGCCGGCGCACCCCUCCCCCCGGCGCCCCUCCCCCGGCGCGAGCAGAGCGAGGGGCGGAGCGAGGGCGGGGCCACGGCUCUUUUCUCUGGAGUUCGCGCGCCCUGAACGCUAGCAGUGCACCUCUUCGAACCGACUCCGCGCCGGUGAGUGGGGUCCCGGGCCGGGUACGAGUCCGGGAGGUCGAAGUCGGCUCGGCUCGGCCCGGCGGGAUCUCUUGUUCCCGCUGACCUCCUACCAAUCC